UACGAAGGGGGCUAGCGUUGUUCGGAAUUACUGGGCGUAAAGCGCACGUAGGCGGAUAUGUAAGUCAGGGGUGAAAUCCCGGGGCUCAACCUCGGAACUGCCUUUGAUACUGCAAGUCUUGAGUCCGGAAGAGGUGAGUGGAAUUCCUAGUGUAGAGGUGAAAUUCGUAGAUAUUAGGAAGAACACCAGUGGCGAAGGCGGCUCACUGGUCCGGUACUGACGCUGAGGUGCGAAAGCGUGGGGAGCAAACAGG
rnacentral:rRNA from 1 species